rfam:Ictidomys tridecemlineatus contig062355, whole genome shotgun sequence.
GGGGUUGUAGCUCAGUGGUAGAGCACUUACCUAGUAUGUAUGAGGCACUGGGUUCGAUCCUCAACACCCCA